AUUGAACGCUGGCGGCAUGCUUUACACAUGCAAGUCGGACGAGUGGCGAACGGGUGAGUAACGCAUAGGAACGUACCGCGUAAUGGGGGAUAACUGUCCGAAAGGACAGCUAAUACCGCAUAUUAUUCGAGGGGCCGAUGUCGGAUUAGCUUGUUGGGGGGGUAAAGGCGCACCAAGGCGACGAUCAGUAGCUGGUCUGAGAGGAUGAUCCGCCACACUGGAACUGAGACACGGCCCAGACUCCUACGGGAGGCAGCAGUGGGGAAUGUUGGACAAUGGGCGCAAGCCUGAUGCAGCCAUGCCGCGUGUAUGAAGAAGGCCUUCGGGUUGUAAAGUACUUUUGGCAGGGAAGCGGUACCCGAAGAAGAAGCACCGGCUAACUACGUGCCAGCAGCCGCGGUAAUAC
rnacentral:rRNA from 1 species